AUUGAACGCUGGCGGCAGGCCUAACACAUGCAAGUCGAACGGUAGCACAGAGAGCUUGCUCUCGGGUGACGAGUGGCGGACGGGUGAGUAAUGUCUGGGAAACUGCCUGAUGGAGGGGGAUAACUACUGGAAACGGUAGCUAAUACCGCAUAACGUCGCAAGACCAAAGAGGGGGGACCUUCGGGUCCGUCUUUGCCACUCAGAUGUGCCCACGAUGGGAUUAG
rnacentral:rRNA from 1 species